GUAAAGCUGAACGAGGUAUCAGAAAGAGGCGUGUGAUUGUAACGGCUCUGUACUGCUCUAGAGAAGAUUAACAGAAGCAUUGUGGACUUUGGGCUGAGAAAGCCAUUGAGCACUUAAGGUUUAAAAGAUUGUUUCACGAGAACUUGGAAGUCAGCGCUGAGAGCAGUGCGGACGAUGGAAGCUUGGCCUGUGACGCUCCCGAAGGAAGCAAAGACAAUCAGGGCUGUUGAUGUGAUAGACCGGCUGAGAAUCUAUAAAGGGGGAAAUCCGUGCUUUCCUGGGACAAUGGAUGCGGGCUAGCUGGAACUGGAAAAACAUCUCAGCUGUAGUUAAUAAGCGACCAGCAUCACGGAGACAAAAUCUUCUGGGAAGUAUUUUCUCAGGGUCAGUGCUGUGCUUCCAUGGGGCCAAGGCUGGAGCUUGACCUGGCAGCUGAACUUGGUGGCCUGGACGAGUCUUCCACAUGAUAUUUAAUUUGAAGGCGUGAAGGGGAGAGUCGGAGUCCCCGAAGAGGCCAAGGAAGGCCACUGGUGAAGGUGCAGCCUACGUUGCAGUGGGGAUUCCAACAUUUUCGACAUUCCAAGCCCGUGGAGUGACCGAGUGACCGCCAAGGACAGCAGAAGCCCAGAGUAGAGCUGAGCCUACAAGCCGUGUGCUGCGUGGGGGUGGCAGGUUCAGAGAUGUGGAAUGUCGUCUACACCUUUAGAUACUCAGAGGCUCCUGCGUGAGUCCCAGAUGCCAGACACUGCUGGACUUCGAUUUUCUUCAAAUGUGAUUGUUUUUAGAUCGCUGUUUUUCCCUUUAGACUAAGAAGGCUGAUAAUUGAUGGUGCCCACUCUGGUGCCUUUGGCGGAGCCCUUUUUCUGCCCGUCCCCUCUUGUCAGAGUGACCUCCGAGUUGCCUCUGCGCACAUGUAGGACACGGAAGAUGUAGAACUCUCAACUGGCUCUCCAGCACCAUGUCUGCCUGCCUGCCACUGGGUCCCACCAUGACGUCAAUGAACUCAACCUGUGAAUCUGUAAGCCAGCCCCAAUGAAAUGCCUUCCUCUGUAAGAGCUGCUGUGGUCAUAGUGUUCUUCACAGCAACAGAACAUUAACCAACACACUUACUGUGUCACUGUAUUUGAUUUUUAAAAUGUAGGCCUAUUUGGUGUCGGUGGCUGACUGUAAUGUCACCAUUCAUGUAUUGAAAUCCGGGUCUCCAGCACCCCUGGAUGUGACCGUAAACAGAAAUAACCUUUCCAAAGGCGAGCAGAGUGGGGCUGAUAGGGCCUUCAUCCACCAUGGCAGCUCUUUGUGAGAAGGGGUUAGUGCACAGACCUGGCACAGAAGAAGGUGUGUCCUGGCUGCCAUAAGAAAGCCGGCUGAGCAAGCCUGGGAGAGCAAGCCAGUGAGCAGCAUCCCUCCAUGGCCUCUGCAUCAGCUCAUGUACUGCUCCAGCUUCCUGCACUGAGUUGGUCUUCCUGAGCUCUCUGCAUCCUGCCUAUGAGAUGUGAGCUCUUAGCUGCUGCUCCAACCGUCUGCCUUGCUCCCCCAUUAUAGACUGCCCCCUCUGAAACUGUCAACUCAACUAAACUCGUUCUUUCAAAUGUUGCUUGGGUCGCGGUGCUUUAUCGUUGCAGCAACCCAUAGAAGGACGGAUUAAGAAUGGGCUCAACACAAUGAAAACAGGAUGGUGGUAAGAUGUUCAGAGAACCUUAGAGAAGCCGGGAACACAAGCAGCUUAAUAAGGAACCGAGAGGAAUGAGCUGGUAGUGGCUGCAGACCCCUGAGCUGACGAGUGGCCUCUGCCUACGGCCCUCAGCCCCCCCAAGGUAGUUUCUGCUGGUGCAACCGCAGGAACUACUGUUAGGUAAAGACUCUGGUAGUCAGCAGUUGAGUAAGCUGCCUCCUCAUCUUGCCCCGUAUAAGUGUGUCUGGGAGAACAGGUGGCUUUCUGCUUGGUGUCCUGAGUCAACACCCUUCACUGCACAGCCACAGACUAGUGCUGAAUGGCAGAACACAGUUCUAUAAAACUGCAGGUUUCCUGUGUGCCAGCCCCCUCCAGGGAAACGGCAGGAGGUCUGUCUUCUUGGACUUGUCACCCUCC